rnacentral:rRNA from 1 species
UACAGAGGGUGCUAGCGUUGUUCGGAAUUACUAGGCGUAAAGGGCGGGUAGGUGGUUUGAUAAGUCUGUUGUGUAAGCUCCCGGCUUAACUGGGAGAGGUCAACGGAAACUAUCAGACUUGAGUAUAGGAGAGGUUACUGGAAUUCCCGGUGUAGCGGUGAAAUGCGCAGAUAUCGGGAGGAACACCAAUGGCGAAAGCAGGUAACUGGACUAUUACUGACACUCAGCUGCGAAAGCUAGGGGAGCAAACAGG